GGGCUAGUGGUUAGGACGCUAGGUUCUCAACCUGGUAACAGGGGUUCGACUCCCCUACACG
rnacentral:tRNA from 1 species